AGAGAUAUGGUGAAAUUAGGUAUACACAAUGGACUUAAAAUCCAUUAACAUUAAUAUGUUGUAAGGGUUCGAUCCCCUUUAUCUCUA
rnacentral:tRNA from 1 species